rfam:Nhumirim virus strain BrMS-MQ10, complete genome
ACUUGGGAAGAGACCAGAGAUAUGAUGUUGUUUGUCAAUGCUGACAACAGCCAUGGCACAGAGCGCCUGAAGAGAGCUGUUGUUAUAAUUUACAAAAAAUAACAUAU